rnacentral:rRNA from 1 species
CACGUAGGGCGCAAGCGUUGUCCGGAAUUAUUGGGCGUAAAGAGCUCGUAGGCGGUCUGUUGCGUCUGCUGUGAAAACCCGGGGCUUAACCCCUGGCUUGCAGUGGAUACGGACAGACUAGAGGUAGGUAGGGGAGAAUGGAAUUCCCGGUGUAGCGGUGAAAUGCGCAGAUAUCAGGAGGAACACCGAUGGCGAAGGCGGGUCUCUGGGCCGAUACUGACGCUGAGGAGCGAAAGCGUGGGGAGCGAUCAGG